UGAGGAAUAUUGGUCAAUGGACGGAAGUCUGAACCAGCCAUGCCGCGUGAAGGAUGAAGGCGUUCUGCGUUGUAAACUUCUUUUAUCUGGGAAGAAACCACAGAUUUCUAUUUGUGUUGACGGUACCAGAAGAAUAAGCACCGGCUAACUCCGUGCCAGCAGCCGCGGUAAUACGGAGGGUGCGAGCGUUAUCCGGAUUUACUGGGUUUAAAGGGUGCGUAGGCGGGCUAUUAAGUCAGAGGUGAAAUCUCCGGGCUCAACCUGGAAACUGCCUUUGAUACUAUUUGUCUUGAAUAUUGCGGAGGUAAGCGGAAUAUGUCAUGUAGCGAUGAAAUGCUUAGAUAUGACAUAGAACACCGAUUUCGAAGGCAGCUUACUACACAAUCAUUGACACUGAGGCACGAAAGCGUGGGUA
rnacentral:rRNA from 1 species